rnacentral:misc_RNA from 1 species
UUAAAUUCAGGGGGUCUUCCCACUUCAUCUGAGGUCUAAUUCAAAGGUUAACAACGACAUGGACCAACGAAGCAAGCUUCAUCAGCCCACACUAUUGUCAAUUUGUUUCUUUGGGCUUCGCAACAUAGGAUUCGAGGAUUGUAUCCACAAUUAAGUGAAAGCAACUUGCCACGAAUACACACAGUCGUGAGGCUGAGAUU